rnacentral:sRNA from 1 species
AAUGCACCCCAGGGGCGGGCCGAGUCGGGCUGAGCGGCUGGAGCUGGGCCUUGGCCGCGAGAGGCCGGCGAAAGCUAUCUUCCUGCACCGGCGGCCGGGUGAGGGCGGUGGGAGGGCGCGGUGCCUGCGCUGUGGCCAUGUCUGUGUACGCAGGGGGCCGGGGCCCCGCGAAGCUGUGCCCUCAGGCCGGCCCCGGCCGGACACCCUUACCCCUCCAUGGGUCCGGCAGAGGGCAGUGACCGGCACCUUCUGUGCGUCCUGGACCCCUCUGAGAAACAGGAGAGCUCAAAGGAUGGCUACUGACAUGCAGAGGAAGAGAAGCAGCGAAUGCCUUGAUGGCACAUUGACUCCUUCUGAUGGACAGAGUAUGGAGAGAGCUGAGAGCCCCACACCAGGAAUGGCCCAGGGAAUGGAGCCAGGUAUGGGCAAGUGUACAGCCUCAGCCAGCUGCCAACCAGAGCAGUCUCCAGGGGGAAUUAGGAUUCCCAACCACUUUUUCCUUUCCACUUAUUCAUGCAUUUGUCAGUCACUCAUUGGAUAUUCGUCAGGUUCUGGGGAUAAGGCAGGAGGCCAGGCUCAUUCUGCAUCUGGCUUUCCUCUCCACUUCAUGUUAUGCUGCUCGCCCUGAGCUUUCUGGCUGCCAUUGUGGGCUCUUCUGUUCCCUGUGUCUACAGCGCACCUCCCUGGCUCCUUCUCCCCUCCUCACGAGUUAGGCCUGCUCUGACCAUGCUCUGUAUAGCACACUAAUUAUUUCAUAAUUUUAUCUCUUUAUGCAUAUAUUGCCCAUCUCUCUCUUCCACAAGAUUGUGAACACUUUGAGCGCAGGGCAGUUAUAUCCCCAGUGCCUGGUACAGGGCUGAAUUCGCAAGAGAGACUCAAAAUAUAUCUGUUAAACUAUUUUGUCAAAAAAUCAAUAAAGGAAGACUGACCUGGUCCCUGCCCUGAGGCAGUCACAGGCUGUGGCGCCAUUAUAGUGGGGUCAGUCAGGAGCUAUGGCCUGAGUAGGGUAGGGGAGCUUUCUCCCAGAGAGAGAGAUUCAUUGAGUAUGGGCAGUGCUCCAGACACAGGGUGAGGUGCUGCGUUCCGGCACCUUACUGGGUACCAUUGUAGUUGGGGAGAAGGACAAUAACUGGCAAGUGCCACAAGAGAAAUCAAAAAGGGAUAUAUAGAGUGCCUGGGGUUGGAGGUCAGUAACUAACAUCUUCCCUGAGAGCUUAAGUGUGACAAUUAGCCGGCCACUUG